AGCUCUGUGCAGUGGCAGUAUCGUCUCCAAUGAGGUUUAUCCGAGGCGUGAUUAUUGCUAAUUGAAAUCAAGUUUUCAAAAAU
rnacentral:snRNA from 1 species